ACGAACGCUGGCGGCACGCUUAACACAUGCAAGUCGAACGAGAGAAGAGAAGCUUGCUUUUCUGAUCUAGUGGCGGACGGGUGAGUAACACGUGAGCAAUCUGCCUUUCAGAGGGGGAUACCGAUUGGAAACGAUCGUUAAUACCGCAUAACAUAAUUGAACCGCAUGAUUUGAUUAUCAAAGAUUUAUCGCUGAAAGAUGAGCUCGCGUCUGAUUAGCUAGUUGGUAAGGUAACGGCUUACCAAGGCGACGAUCAGUAGCCGGACUGAGAGGUUGAUCGGCCACAUUGGGACUGAGACACGGCCCAGACUCCUACGGGAGGCAGCAGUGGGGAAUAUUGCACAAUGGAGGAAACUCUGAUGCAGCGAUGCCGCGUGAGGGAAGAAGGUUUUAGGAUUGUAAACCUCUGUCUUCAGGGACGAAAAAAGACGGUACCUGAGGAGGAAGCUCCGGCUAACUACGUGCCAGCAGCCGCGGUAAUACGUAGGGAGCGAGCGUUGUCCGGAAUUACUGGGUGUAAAGGGAGCGUAGGCGGGAUCGCAAGUCAGAUGUGAAAACUAUGGGCUUAACCCAUAAACUGCAUUUGAAACUGUGGUUCUUGAGUGAAGUAGAGGUAAGCGGAAUUCCUAGUGUAGCGGUGAAAUGCGUAGAUAUUAGGAGGAACAUCAGUGGCGAAGGCGGCUUACUGGGCUUUAACUGACGCUGAGGCUCGAAAGCGUGGGGAGCAAACAGGAUUAGAUACCCUGGUAGUCCACGCCGUAAACGAUGAUUACUAGGUGUGGGGGGACUGACCCCUUCCGUGCCGCAGCAAACGCAAUAAGUAAUCCACCUGGGGAGUACGACCGCAAGGUUGAAGCUCAAAGGAAUUGACGGGGGCCCGCACAAGCAGUGGAGUAUGUGGAUUAAUUCGAAGCAACGCGAAGAACCUUACCAGGUCUUGACAUCGUAUGCAUAGCUCAGAGAUGAGUGAAAUCUCUUCGGAGACAUAUAGACAGGUGGUGCAUGGUUGUCGUCAGCUCGUGUCGUGAGAUGUUGGGUUAAGUCCCGCAACGAGCGCAACCCUUACUGUUAGUUGCUACGCAAGAGCACUCUAGCAGGACUGCCGUUGACAAAACGGAGGAAGGUGGGGAUGACGUCAAAUCAUCAUGCCCCUUAUGACCUGGGCCUCACACGUACUACAAUGGCUGUCAACAGAGGGAUGCAAAGCCGCGAGGUGGAGCGAACCCCUAAAAGCAGUCUUAGUUCGGAUUGUAGGCUGCAACCCGCCUACAUGAAGUCGGAAUUGCUAGUAAUCGCAGAUCAGCAUGCUGCGGUGAAUACGUUCCCGGGCCUUGUACACACCGCCCGUCACGCCAUGGGAGUCGGUAACACCCGAAGCCUGUAGUCUAACCGCAAGGAGGACGCAGUCGAAGGUGGGAUUGAUGACUGGGGUG
rnacentral:rRNA from 1 species